GGGGGGGUAAGAUGUACGCAGUCCAUACCUCUACCUCUGAUGAAGUAGAAAGGCUGUUUCCGAAAGACCCCCGGCUCAAGUCACGAGAUAUCACACAAACACAUAGUACAACACAGAAGCAGAUGACAUAACAUAGAUACGGCACCCAUAAGGAAUAUAAAACCGAGUAAAGCAAAAUACAUAGUACAGCACAGCAGCAGAUGACAUAACAUAAAUACGGCACCCAUAGGGAAUAUAAAACAGAGUAAAGCAGGAAUGCAGGAAUAUAAAGCAGAGGAAAGCACACAGAUUCGUAAUAAACAUGGAACACGGAACACGGAACACUGAAUACGGGAUCAUAACAGGAAUACACCCCCCCAAUUAAUUCCCUACCCUAGCGACCCGAACUGGCCCUAAUCCUCUGCCGUAAUUCGCAUCUUCCAGACCUUCCUAUCUAGGCUCAUGUCCUCGGUGAGCUGUAACUGUUCCAUGUCCCACCUAAUCACCUCACCCCAGUACUUCUUCGGUCUACCCUUUCCCCGUCUAAAACCAUCCAACGCUAGCCUCUCACACCUACGGACCGGGGCAUCCAUGCCCCUCCUCUUCACGUGUCCGAACCAUCUCAAUCGUGCUUCCCGCAUCUUACACUCCACUGAAGUCACACCAACCUUCUCCCGGAUAGUCUCAUUCCGAACUCUAUCCCCUCGAGUCAGUCCACACAUCCAGCGCAACAUCCGCAUUUCUGCCACC
rnacentral:lncRNA from 1 species